GAAUAGAAUUUUUUCUUAGAACUGAGUUGAACUCAGUUAGAACUCAGUUCUUCUAAGAACUAGAAUCUGGAACUCAGAUAUACAACUGGAUAUAAUACUCCUAAUUUACAUGCUAAUUUUUAACAUAUACCUGAUCAUCUCCUCUCUAAUGAGGCAGUAUAGUCUUUGGCUCUCAAGAACAUGUUUUAUGACUGGCUCACCUUGAAAACAAUAAUUCACAGCAUCUACUCUUAAACAGUUUUACUAGUAACUACUACCUAUAAAACUACUACCAACCAGGAUGCAGUAUCCCUUAGGAAUUUGGAGAAAUGAAGAUAGUUUGAAGAUUUGAGUUUAUAUAUUUGUGGUGGCUGUCAAAGUGUGCCACUUAGAUAUCCUUCAAGAGAGAACUUAAUGUUUCCCGUCAGCUGGAAAGGAAAAAACAAGAAAUAUCAUGUAUAUGACGGUUCAUGGAUGGACCUAGAAGUGGUGUGUCUCCUUUGCUCACAUUCUACGCUCUGGAAUCCAGUGACAGGGCAUAUCCAACCAUAUGGGAGGUUGGGAAUUAGUAUCUAUGUGCCAGAGAAGAGGAGCACUUUCAGCAGUUCUAUCAUGCAGGUCUUCCUUGAUAGCAUUGAAGUUCUUCAUUUCUUAUAUUAUUUUUAAUGCUGUAAAAUACGAUAUAUAGAGGAUUGUGAAAAUAUCCCCAUUACUGGAGAUUGAUAAUCUCUGUAAAUUUGCCAAGUCAUCUGUCUUUUAAAAUCAGGAGAAAGACAAAGAAGGAGGUAAUUAAAAGACUGCAAAGGAGUGUGGAUAGAGCUAAAUUGGAUUAUAAUAAAUUUGCACCUCAAUCUCA
rnacentral:lncRNA from 1 species